GGCGAGGUGGCCGAGUGGUUAAGGUGAUAGACUGCUAAUCUAUUUGACUCCGCCCACGUGGGUUCGAGUCCCACCCUUCUCG